rnacentral:rRNA from 1 species
AUACGUAGGGAGCGAGCGUUGUCCGGGAUUACUGGGUGUAAAGGGAGCGUAGGCGGGAGUGCAAGUCAGAUGUGAAAUACAUGGGCUCAACCCAUGGGCUGCAUUUGAAACUGCAUUUCUUGAGUGAAGUAGAGGUAAGCGGAAUUCCUGGUGUAGCGGUGAAAUGCGUAGAUAUCAGGAGGAACACCGGUGGCGAAGGCGGCUUACUGGGCUUUUACUGACGCUGAGGCUCGAAAGCGUGGGGAGCAAACAGGAUUAGAUACCCUGGUAGUCCACGCUGUAAACGAUGAUUACUAGGUGUGGGGGGACUGACCCCUUCCGUGCCGCAGUUAACACAAUAAGUAAUCCACCUGGGGAGUACGGCCGCAAGGUUGAAACUCAAAUGAAUUGACGGGG